GAGAGAAAAAAAAGGAUCCCUAACACUGCAAGAAAUAAACUGUUCAUUAACAGAUUUUCAGUGUUUUUCUUGCAUCUCCUAUUACUUAUUUACCUGGAAGUGCUAUUUCUCCUACCUCUUUAACACAGAGAGAUGCAAGUUCCCAGGAACUUCUCAUAGUGUCCUAAUGCUUGGGAAGGACCUUGAAAUGUCCCUGCCUCUACAGGGCACUCAGAAGCACUCUGAGAACCUUCUAUCCAGUUCGACAUGUUCAUAUCAGCAGUCCCAUUCUCCACAGGGCUCUGGUCUGAGCUGAAAUGAAUCAUUCUACAGAUGGCCAAAGAAGUAGUCACAAAAAUGAACCAGAUAUGUACGGAUGUCCUUGGAUCCUGGAUUAGGAUUAUCAUCUAAGAAAAUGUUAAAGUCGGCCGGGGACCUUGACCAUCCAAACUGUGAAUGAACCGGAGUUCACUGCAAAUCACUCCUGUAAAGAGCUUUCUUUCUAGCACAGAGAUGGCGUUUCAGAGGAUGGGGACAUCUAAAUCAGCUCUAUGGAGAUGGGUCCCCAGAAUCAUCCUAUGCAUUGGGAGAGGAUGGGGAUGGUCCGAGUUUGUUCCUGUCUGUGCAUUACACGUGACACGGUUGUGCUGAUUUCCAGUUGUCCUUGGCAAAGAGAAAAAGCUCUUCAAGGACCUUUUCUGACCUGGCAGAAAUGACUGCAGCUCAGCGGAGAUGGCUUCAUUCUGAACUUUAUUUGUGCCAAUCCUGCAAAAGAAAACUGUAGUAAAAAGCUCACAGUAUGUGUUGACAAAUCAUGCGUUAUACAGAGAAAAACUGCCGUUAAAUUCUGAUCUCUUUCUUUAAUUGAGGGAUUCUUUUAUUCUAUUUUGUGGCAAGAGACUAUUUAGUUCCAAUUUAAGAGAACUUGUUUAGAGCAAAUACAUUCUCCCUAUACAGCUGUUCUCUACCAGUCUGACUGCAGCUUAGCUAUAUAACCCCUUACGGAUGUGCGAAUGCUGUUUGAAUAAUUAACUGCUGCUAAUGAUGAUCCCGUAUUACAGUGAUUGGAGACACUACAAGAAAAAAAAAUAUAAUAGUAUUUCACAAACACUGUGGGAAAUGUGAUUCUCAGCCAGCGCUCUGCAUGAAGAGCAGGGGAGGCUCACUGAAUUUUCUCAGUCACUAAAUGGCAGAAAAUAGGCUCCUAAAGGACUCCACACGGGAUGCUGAGGCAGGAUAUGCAGUACUCAAAUCUUGGCUCUGACACACGUUACAGGCAAAUAUCUCCAAUUCCGCUGCAGAAGAAGAAUCCUGAAAUCCUCCACGAGUGAGGGUGGCUGGUUUAUGUCUCUCUAAGCAAACUGACCCUUCUCUGAUCUAACUUCUGUCUGGGCAAGGACAAGUUUGGGAAGAUUUGGAUGGACACUAGGUGUAAGAUUACGCUUCCUCCAUUCCACUUGAAUAGUGAGGUCAUCAGAGAAUCUGGCCUUCUCAAUAUUUAAUCGAAGUUAGUUUGAUAUCAUAAAAUUCCUAACAGUUACUUGAAACUCACUGUAUAAUCAUAUUGACCCCCUUACACAUUCUGAUAAAUCCCUGCUGCUUAGUGAACAUAAAUGGAAGUCAUGACCAAAGCUAUCUUAAAGAUGCGCCACGCAAGGCAGUAUAAUAUAAAAUACUCAUAAUUAGUGCUACCAGCUGGUUGUUUAAAAAUGAAUUUUGUUAAUAUUUGUAGAUAUUCUUCUGAUGUAGGCUUUUGAUAUAGGAAGAGUUCUGGGAUGAGAGUAUGAAGACUGAAGUGGUAGGGGGGCUACAUUGUGCCAUGUGCAUUGAGAACAACAGUGUACUGUUAGAAAGAAAAGAUAUUGGUCUCUUUCUUGUUACCACCAUUUAAUGAUUAAGGGGCUCAAAAUGUUUAAAUUUUAUCUCUAUCAGGAUUCUGUUAUUCUGUUGUUAGUAUUAUAUAGAUAUAUAUUUAAUGCUAGUAAUGCUAGUAUAUUUGUGGCAUUACUGUUGUACUGUCACUGAAAUUAAGAAUACUUUUCCAGUUUUAGACAAAUCCAAUGACCUAUAGUAUGUCAUUACAGACAGAGGAACAACAAAAGUAACAAAAAAUUAAAAAUUAAAUUAUUUCCUUGUCUUUAAAAUUUGUCUGCAUAUUAAAAAACAACUACACAAUUGGAGCUAACUAUACCUUAUUCACUUCCUAUUUGGUUCCUACAUAAUCAAUUUACUAUAUUGUUAUGAAAGACAUACUCUAUGUACGUAUCAUAACCUUGUGCAGUAAAUUAUUUAGACUUAUAUGAAGUAAAUCUUUGUCAGAGAAUUGAAGAUAACAAGAACUAUUUUUUUCAAAAAUUCUCUUGGAUAGAUUAAACUGAUACUAUUCUUUUCUUGCUAUGUUGUCCAUGAAUAAAAUAUCUUUAAAAGAA